UCCACGAACGAGUCGCUCUCCGCCUUCCUGAACUUGCCUCACCGCCGUCUCGCCGCCCAUCUCAGAACUGUCCUUGAUCGCCCCUGUCUGUGGUGGAACGACUCCUCCGUCUUCGCCCAGCCGUCGCCGACUUCCUUCUCCUGUCUUUUCCCCUAAAGCUGCAUCACUAGGAGAGAGGAUGGGGGUGGAGGAUCUAUAGGAUUUUCGAGCGACAACCCACCUAGACAUGGUUGUGGAUAAAGAGAAUAGGAAGCGAGAAGCAGGGGAGAUAGGAGAUGCAAUGAGAACUAGAGAACAGAACAAUGUAGAAGAGAUGUGGUCGAUGAAAUCUAGACAUGCUUGAGUCUCCAUUGGCCAGAUGCUUGAAAUUUUGAAGCAUUCCGCUCAUCAAAAGG